AAGGCUUGACAUAUAGGGAAAAGUGGCAGAGAUGUCAUGUCCGCAAGGGCUCUAUACAGGUGGUGCAUGGUUGUCGUCAGCUCGUGUCGUGAGAUGUUGGGUUAAGUCCCGCAACGAGCGCAACCCUCGUUCUGUGUUGCCAGCAUUUAGUUGGGGACUCACAGGAGACUGCCGGGGUUAACUCGGAGGAAGGUGGGGAUGACGUCAAAUCAUCAUGCCCCUUAUGUCUUGGGCUGCACGCAUGCUACAAUGGCCGGUACAGAGGGCUGCAAUACCGUAAGGUGGAGCGAAUCCCAAAAAGCCGGUCUCAGUUCGGAUUGAGGUCUGCAACUCGACCUCAUGAAGUUGGAGUUGCUAGUAAUCGUAGAUCAGCAAC
rnacentral:rRNA from 1 species